GAAAUGUAAAUAAAGAUAGGUGCACUUUUAGGUGCAUAAGAAAAGAUGAUGUAGCAAUCACAAGACUGAGGCUUGGACACUGUGGGCUGAGGAGUGGGCUGGCUCUGAUUGGCAAACACCCAGAUGGCAGGUGUGAGUGUGGAGAAAGAGAGACUUGUAAAACAUGUACUUCUCCAGUGGGGGCGCUAUUCCAGGCAAAGGAGGACUCUGUACCGGAGGCUUGGAUCAGCUGGGGAAUCAUUUUUUAAUUUGCGCACUCUUUUAAAUCUGGAUUAAGUGGAUAAAACAAAGGAAUUGAUGGACUACAUAUUACAGUGUGCCUUGCUCUACACCACCGCCGGGGGCCAGAGGCGUCUGCGCGUCCACAACCUCAGUCUGAACUGCAGCUCCCCAGCUGAUGGAGCUGUUCAAGAGCUGCGAGACGAACUCGCUCAUCAACUUCUUCUCCAAAACAGGUGACCAUCCAACUCUCUCUGUUCAUUCCCGACCCCUCUCCUCACCCUAGGACCAGGCGGCUGAGUGCAGCAGGAAGCUCUUCAUCUUCCACGCCUCCAUCCCGACCGCUGAGGCUCCUGGGAAGUUGAAGAACCGAGACGAUAAGAAGCUGGUCAGCACGGACAAGGAGAAGCCUAUCAAGGAAUGCUGAUCUUUCAGCUGUCCAAGGACUGUGUAGCUCAGGGCUUCCGCGUGGACCUCUUCCUGUUCCCCAGCCAGUACCUGGACAUCGCCACCAUGGGGGAUGUGCCCGCGCACACCGGGCGCGCCGUCUACAAGUACAGCAACUUCCAGGAGUGUGUGUUUGGGUGGGUUGGUGGGUCGGUUGUGUGUGCGUGUGUGUGUCUGUGUUUGUGUGUGUGGGGGUGUGAGUGUUAUAUUGCUUGUGUGUUUGUUGCCGUGUUGAUGGGUUGAGUGUGAGUGUGUGUGUGUCUGUGCGUGUGUGUCUGUGCGUUUAGAACACAUUACAAUCUAUUUAAACAUGGAUGUUUUUGUGGCCCGAAAUGGGAAAACAAUCUAUUAAUGAAACUGUGGAUACUUUCUAGUUAGGCUAUUGUCUCUGGCUACAGGCCAGGCAUGUGCACUAGAAGCAGACUUUAGAUCAGAUGUAAAAAAACAACGCUUAGCUUUGCUUUAUUAUUAUAUUUACUCAGUAGUUGGCCUCAAGUGAUAAAGAAAGAGUAGCAAUUAAUUAGGAUUCAAAAGACUGUUCAUCACACUUUUUUGUUCAAUUUACAAUUGAUUUGAAAAUAAAACCAACACACCCACAAACUCAAAAUAAAAAGUAUGAUAUCACGUUUGCUGUAUUGUCGCAGUAAUUUACACACAAUACAUGCAUACACACAAAUAUGCACAUAGAGAAUCCCAAUGCAUUGCACACAAAGCCAAAUUAAAAUGUGUACCUUUUUCAAUAUUACCAAUGGGAACAACACUAUAAAUUAGCUUCUUUCAAUGUUAUGAAUUUUGAGAGGCAGACGAAUUGUUGUAUGUUUUUGUAAACGCAUCUGAAAGGCCUUUGCCCCCACACCUUUUGUGAUUUCUUUUUUUGUAUUGGAGGAAAAUAAACAAUGUUUCCUCGGUCUUGCUGUGGUUCUUCAGUCCUCCUCAGCCAAUGAUCUGACGCACGUACACAGUUCAACCCUUGUAUUUGGAGCAGCCGUUUGUGAUCAGUUGUGACCUGAGCCUUUUUAUCCGCCCAUCAUUUGACUGAAGUCGAUUUCACCCCGAUAUUGAAGUCCUUCAAUAGCUUGGCACCCAUUAUGGCACUGGUCAAAGGUCAGCCCUGAGAGACAAACACACUGGGUGACUCUGGGAGGAGCAGAGCAUGCUGGGAAAUGGAGUACAGAGAAGCAUAUCUCUAUGAAACCAUAGAGAAGUGGUGAGAAAUGUAUAAUCCUUUAUAAAUGAUUAUUGAGAUGAUUCAUACUAUUAUUUAUAAGGUUUGUUAAUGAUUUACAAUUUAAUAUGUUAGUUCUUUAUGAACACCGAAUAUUGCUGCAGUUCAUGUUUUGUUCAGCUUGCUAGAAAGCAAUUGUUAAAGGGUUGAUAUUACCACCGGGCGUCAGUGUGAUUAGCCAUGACGAGGCUAAGCACACACACCUGGUGACAUAAUAUCACCACUUCAAUUCAAAGUCUUAUUGGUCACAUGUUUGCAAAAAUAACAUUUUACACACAGUGAAAUUAAAAAGGAGUCAUCACUGUCAUUCACUCUAUGUAUUUUUAUGUGAGCUCAUCUAAAGUAGGGACAAUCUAUGCCUAACUAAGAAUUUAAAGAUCACAUUUAAAGCUGGAAAAACCUUUUUUAUUACAUUUUAUUACAAUAAAAAUAUUUUUUUAUUACAUUUAUUUCACUGACGCUUUUAUCAAAAGCAAUGUCAUAAGUUCAUAAACUCAUUCAACAUGAAGAUAUGACCCAACAAGUGCAAGAAUCACGCAAGUACAAACAUUUAAUCAGUAAGCAGAGUUCUGAAUUAAUCAAACCAGUAAAUUCAGUUAUUUAAAUGUUUUCUAUUAAAAAAAAUA